AAACCCAUCAAGCCUGGCUUGGUAUUGGGCGACGGGACCUCCCCGCGCCCCGAUUUCGCCGGCUGGACGAACCCCGAUCUCAAGCGCUGUAAUGAGCAUUCGCUGGAGGGACGGGCGGCCACGCCGUUAACCUUAAUCAAUUCAAG
rnacentral:misc_RNA from 1 species